rfam:Zootermopsis nevadensis contig26118, whole genome shotgun sequence.
GCCAUGGUGGUUUAGCGGUUAGAACGCUGGCCUUGUAAUCCUGGGGUCUCGGGUUCGAUUCCCGGCGGUGCCC